rnacentral:rRNA from 1 species
GACGAACGCUGGCGGCGUGCUUAACACAUGCAAGUCGAACGAUGAAGCUGGAGCUUGCUCCGGUGGAUUAGUGGCGAACGGGUGAGUAACACGUGAGCAAUCUGCCCUUGACUCUGGGAUAACUGCAGGAAACUGUAGCUAAUACCGGAUAUGAGGCUCGAAGGCAUCUUCGGGUCUGGAAAGAAUUUCGGUCAAGGAUGAGCUCGCGGCCUAUCAGCUUGUUGGUGAGGUAAUGGCUCACCAAGGCGACGACGGGUAGCAGGCCUGAGAGGGUGAGCGACCACACUGGGACUGAGACACGGCCCAGACUCCUACGGGAGGCAGCAGUGGGGAAAAUUGCACAGUGGGCGAAAGCCUGAUGCAGCAACGCCGCGUGAGGGAUGAAGGCGUUCGGGUUGUAAACCUCUUUUAGCAGGGAAGAAGCGAAAGUGACGGGACCUGCAGAAAAAGCACCGGCUAACUACGUGCCAGCCGCCGCCGUAA